rnacentral:rRNA from 1 species
CAAUAGCGUAUAUUAAAGUUGUUGCGGUUAAAAAGCUCGUAGUUGGAUUUCUGCUGAGAACGACCGGUCCGCCCUCUGGGUGUGUAUCUGGCUCUUUCUUGGCAUCUUCUUGGUGAACGUUGCUGCACUUGACUGUGUGGAGCGCUACCCAGGACUUUUACUUUGAGGAAAUUAGAGUGUUUCAAGCAGGCAUACGCCUUGAAUACAUUAGCAUGGAAUAAUAAGAUAGGACCUCGGUUCUAUUUUGUUGGUUUCUAGAGCUGAGGUAAUGAUUAAUAGGGAUAGUUGGGGGCAUUCGUAUUUAACUGUCAGAGGUGAAAUUCUUGGACUUGUUAAAGACGGACUACUGCGAAAGCAUUUACCAAGGAUGUUUUCAUUAA